GAGUGAAAUAGAACCUGAAACCGUGUGCUUACAAGUAGUCAGAGCCCGUUAAUGGGUGAUGGCGUGCCUUUUGUAGAAUGAACCGGCGAGUUACGAUUUGAUGCAAGGUUAAGCAGUAAAUGUGGAGCCGUAGCGAAAGCGAGUCUGAAUAGGGCGUUUAGUAUUUGGUCGUAGACCCGAAACCAGGUGAUCUACCCUUGGUCAGGUUGAAGUUCAGGUAACACUGAAUGGAGGACCGAACCGACUUACGUUGAAAAGUGAGCGGAUGAACUGAGGGUAGCGGAGAAAUUCCAAUCGAACCUGGAGAUAGCUGGUUCUCUCCGAAAUAGCUUUAGGGCUAGCCUCAAGUGAUGAUUAUUGGAGGUAGAGCACUGUUUGGACGAGGGGCCCCUCUCGGGUUACCGAAUUCAGACAAACUCCGAAUGCCAAUUAAUUUAACUUGGGAGUCAGAACAUGGGUGAUAAGGUCCGUGUUCGAAAGGGAAACAGCCCAGACCACCAGCUAAGGUCCCAAAAUAUAUGUUAAGUGGAAAAGGAUGUGGCGUUGCCCAGACAACUAGGAUGUUGGCUUAGAAGCAGCCAUCAUUUAAAGAGUGCGUAAUAGCUCACUAGUCGAGUGACACUGCGCCGAAAAUGUACCGGGGCUAAACAUAUUACCGAAGCUGUGGAUUGUCCUUUGGACAAUGGUAGGAGAGCGUUCUAAGGGCGUUGAAGCAUGAUCGUAAGGACAUGUGGAGCGCUUAGAAGUGAGAAUGCCGGUGUGAGUAGCGAAAGACGGGUGAGAAUCCCGUCCACCGAUUGACUAAGGUUUCCAGAGGAAGGCUCGUCCGCUCUGGGUUAGUCGGGUCCUAAGCUGAGGCCGACAGGCGUAGGCGAUGGAUAACAGGUUGAUAUUCCUGUACCACCUAUAAUCGUUUUAAUCGAUGGGGGGACGCAGUAGGAUAGGCGAAGCGUGCGAUUGGAUUGCACGUCUAAGCAGUAAGGCUGAGUAUUAGGCAAAUCCGGUACUCGUUAAGGCUGAGCUGUGAUGGGGAGAAGACAUUGUGUCUUCGAGUCGUUGAUUUCACACUGCCGAGAAAAGCCUCUAGAUAGAAAAUAGGUGCCCGUACCGCAAACCGACACAGGUAGUCAAGAUGAGAAUUCUAAGGUGAGCGAGCGAACUCUCGUUAAGGAACUCGGCAAAAUGACCCCGUAACUUCGGGAGAAGGGGUGCUCUUUAGGGUUAACGCCCAGAAGAGCCGCAGUGAAUAGGCCCAAGCGACUGUUUAUCAAAAACACAGGUCUCUGCUAAACCGUAAGGUGAUGUAUAGGGGCUGACGCCUGCCCGGUGCUGGAAGGUUAAGAGGAGUGGUUAGCUUCUGCGAAGCUACGAAUCGAAGCCCCAGUAAACGGCGGCCGUAACUAUAACGGUCCUAAGGUAGCGAAAUUCCUUGUCGGGUAAGUUCCGACCCGCACGAAAGGCGUAACGAUUUGGGCACUGUCUCAACGAGAGACUCGGUGAAAUCAUAGUACCUGUGAAGAUGCAGGUUACCCGCGACAGGACGGAAAGACCCCGUGGAGCUUUACUGUAGCCUGAUAUUGAAAUUCGGCACAGCUUGUACAGGAUAGGUAGGAGCCUUUGAAACGUGAGCGCUAGCUUACGUGGAGGCGCUGGUGGGAUACUACCCUAGCUGUGUUGGCUUUCUAACCCGCACCACUUAUCGUGGUGGGAGACAGUGUCAGGCGGGCAGUUUGACUGGGGCGGUCGCCUCCUAAAAGGUAACGGAGGCGCUCAAAGGUUCCCUCAGAAUGGUUGGAAAUCAUUCAUAGAGUGUAAAGGCAUAAGGGAGCUUGACUGCGAGACCUACAAGUCGAGCAGGGUCGAAAGACGGACUUAGUGAUCCGGUGGUUCCGCAUGGAAGGGCCAUCGCUCAACGGAUAAAAGCUACCCCGGGGAUAACAGGCUUAUCUCCCCCAAGAGUUCACAUCGACGGGGAGGUUUGGCACCUCGAUGUCGGCUCAUCGCAUCCUGGGGCUGUAGUCGGUCCCAAGGGUUGGGCUGUUCGCCCAUUAAAGCGGUACGCGAGCUGGGUUCAGAACGUCGUGAGACAGUUCGGUCCCUAUCCGUCGUGGGCGUAGGAAAUUUGAGAGGAGCUGUCCUUAGUACGAGAGGACCGGGAUGGACAUACCUCUGGUGUACCAGUUGUCGUGCCAACGGCAUAGCUGGGUAGCUAUGUGUGGACGGGAUAAGUGCUGAAAGCAUCUAAGCAUGAAGCCCCCCUCAAGAUGAGAUUUCCCAACUUCGGUUAUAAGAUCCCUCAAAGAUGAUGAGGUUAAUAGGUUCGAGGUGGAAGCAUGGUGACAUGUGGAGCUGACGAAUACUAAUCGAUCGAAGACUUAAUCAA
rnacentral:rRNA from 2 species